GAACAGUGCAACCACCUCUCUACUUACAGCACGUCAGGAAGUGGGGAACUAAGAUGGUCCUAAACUAAGUUGAAAGGUGGAUAGCACCGCUAUCUUGGGGUCAAUGGUAUCCAUAAAUAUCAAACAGCCAGAAGAUUUGGAAUUAAUUGAGAGUUCUUUCAGAAAAACAAAAGAGGAAUUAAUUGAGAGUUGAGAUGUUAUGGGGAUUAGGGAUUGAGUCGUACCUUAAAUUAAUUUCCUUGUUUCUAUUAGCUGCAUCUAUCGCUUCCAACUUCGCAUGGUUGGAUCCCACAUACACAAGCACAGAGCAUAAUCUAUCAAAAGCCGCAUCAUUUUAAUGCAUUUAACUAGAAGCAUCAUCUAGAUGUGGUGCAGUUUUCAACAAUCUCUGCACCAGUUAAUGUGAUGAACGAGCACAUUGAAGCCCCAGCAAACUGAAGACAAAAUUGUUCUGUUGAAGAUUAAUCUUAAGGAAGAAUGUGAAACUGAUAGACUUUCUU
rnacentral:misc_RNA from 1 species